GCUCAGAUAACCCUGACCUGCAUUUUAUCCACCCCCCCACCCCCACCCCCCCAAAGACCCAAGACCGGCAAUACACUAAGUCACUUAGAAAACUUUUUUGUUUAAAUUGGAAUCCCCUACAUUCAGUGUACUUAAGAUGCAUUGUUACAUGAAGAGCAAAUGAAGACUUGAAAAAAUUCAACAAUUAUAUAUAACAGGUAGCUCAUGCUACAAAAGCCCUAUGCAACUUCACUGUCCAGCCCAAUACUUUUAACACAUGCUUUCAGUUUAAAAUCAAAUCUGAAUCUGCCUGUGUCUGUUCUGACCAAUGUAAUCUCUACAGACAUAAAUGGAAAAAAGAGGGAUCAACUAUGCUCUACUCUGUAUUUGGAAUACUGGGAGUUUAGCAGUAACCAAAGGCAACACAACACACGCACAUAUUGUGGCCUAAUCAUGCUCCUUCCAACAUGGAGUGGAAAAAGAAGGACCUUUUUUGUAGCUCUUUUUAAUACAGACUAAUCAAACAGUAUCUAUUAUGGUUUUGGAAUUCUCCCCAAUCUCAAAUCUCCUGAAGUGGAAGAAUGAAAAAGUAGGAGAGAGGAAUCAAUAUUAUCCACACAAAUGACUUCACUUUAAACAUGAUUAUCAAUUUUAAGGGACAUAGACACUUCAAUGUUUUGGAAUAUCGAAGUUUAUAAAAAAAAAAAACUACGUUAUAAAAACUGCAAUUCAUCACCUAGCAUUUUCUAAACUUUGCUGUUAUUUUUCCAUGGAUAGAUUAAUACAUUAAAUUAAGCCAAGGUUUUUGAAGAUUGGCAAUAUUCUAGCAUUUUAAACCAAAAACAACAAACAAAAAAAACCACCAGGUUAGUUGCUUCAUGUUACAUCCAGAAUCCAUAGCCCAUACAUUAAACGCUUUCUUUCUACAGGAAUGGUGUUCUUUAUAUCACAAUUGCAAUUAAUUACUGCUAGAUGCUCAAAAUUUCAGUGGAUAGUGUUUGACUGGAAUCUGUUGAUAGUGAAGUCUUGAGGUUUUUCUGGGUUUCAACAUAUAAGGUGUAUCCCAGGUCCUCUUCCUAGGAUCACAUCCAGGGGUCGGGGGAAAAGGGAAUCACAGAUCAAGUUCUUAAAUUCUUUCAAUCUCUUCGUGGCUUUCUGUUUCUGGGUGAUCUGUUCAAAACUUCAUCUUCCUCU
rnacentral:lncRNA from 1 species